rnacentral:tRNA from 3 species
GCCCUCGUAGCUCAAUGGAUAGAGCAGCCGCCUCCUAAGCGGCAGAUUCAGGUUCGAGUCCUGGCGGGGGUA